rnacentral:lncRNA from 1 species
ACUUGUUUCCCACGGUGAAUUAAUAUAUUAUAACUUUAUUAAUUGACAUGCUUGUGAAACUUGUAGAUCAAAUGAAUCGAGAGUUGAAAAAUUAAAACUAUUGUCCAAUAAAUUAAAAUUCAUAUAAAUCUAUUAAAAUACUAAAUUACAUUUUUGAAAUAUUUUUUUCAAAUAAUAAAUAAUUACAUUCAAAAAAUACAAAUGGAAUACUCGAAUCUACAACUUUUUCAAUUCCUAUCAAACAACUAAAACAUAGCACACACACACACCUUCUUCUGAUCGAGAAUUACUCUCUCCCAUUCCACGUACUCUUCUCAUCUCGACCGAUCUGCAAUCUUGAAUCGCCUUGUACUGGGCUAACGGGCCAAAUGAAUAUCCAAAGUCCACACACGAGCACGGGAGAAAAACAGUUGAUGAUGAUUACUGGGCCAAAGAGUGUUUCCCAUAAUCGAUUUUGACGGAGAAAAGGACACGUUUUGGGGGCAGAUACGAUCGCAGGUCUCGUUUUUUGGAAAACGAUAUUUCAGUCGUUUUUCUUGCUCGCGUUCCACUUGCGUUUCUGAUCAUAUCCGUGGCUAUUGCGCAUGCGCAUUUCCGCACGCGCCGCUUUCAUCGUUCGCGAAAUAAUCUUGGCCGUGAAUCGAGCAUCAGUCUUCGACGAACGAGUCGCUCGUUCUCGCGCUUUACGUCUCAUGUUCGUGUCUCGAGAAACUUGUCCUCGUGGUUUGGGAAAAUUUAUUUAGGUUACCGGUAGAAUGGAAGCGUUUGGAUCUCGCGGUGGAUCGAUCCCGAAUCACUGAAGCACAUAACUAGUUGAAAAGAGGGUAUCGGCCGGGGAAAAACGUCCGAUGAUCGAAGCAUCGAAGAGACGCGAUGGGAGUGGGGAUAGCAAGACACGACGCUCGCGGCCAGUUAUGGUGGCGAACCAUGCUUCAUGGUGGGGUUGAAAGGUGGCGCAGUCAUUUAUGGUUGCCGGUUGUUCAUCCGACGGUUCAGUUGCCCGUCUGACCAACAACGACAAAAACCUCAAAUGGCGAACGUACGAUGAGCAGUCGACUCGAUUUUUAAGGAUCGCUAUAUGGAACCGACACGUUUAUGAAAUUCUAUUUCCAUUAAUCAUCGGAAAUUUAUUGGUUUUUACAAUCGAUUGUUCCAUAAUCGAGAGCUCGCAUAAGCUUUCGAACAGUUUAAAGAGGAAGAAAAUAGAGUUUCGAGAGAGAGAGAAAAGUGAUAUCUGAACGAUGUUUGUGCGAAGUAUGUUUACGUUUGAAUACUAUGUCGGAGAAUUUGAUUAGUAUUUAGAGAAUUUGUUGUUUGUUGUCAAAGUUUAAAUUUGUUAUAUAAUUUGGAAUUCAGUUUGAUAAAGAAGAAAGAAGAGUUUAAAAAAUAAGAAGAAAUGAUUUAUUGGAAGACAUUGCGUUUUGGAUAGAAAAGUGGUAUCUGAAUGAUUAAUUUGAGGAAUAUGUUUGAUAUCUAAUGAAUGUAUCAAGAUGUUGAUUAACGAUUGGUAGUUUUUUUAAAAUUAACUUUGUGAUUGAAGAUUAUUGUUGCGAAAAAUUGUGAUCCAAAGAAGAAUAGGAACAUGGUUGAAAGUGUGCAAUAUUUCUACGAAAAAAAGAAUUUGAUCAAUAAUUCGAGAAUUCUUUGCUUUUGAUGGUGCUGUGUAAUUACAAAUGUUUUUUUCUGAAGAAUUUAUGAAAGAAAUUUAGAUUUAUCCUGCAUUUUGCUAAGUGAAUUUUUUAGAAGAUAAAAUUAUUAUUCAUCUUUAAAAAAUGUUAACAUUUCUCCUUGAAGGGAAUUAAUGAUUCGAUAUUCUUCAAAUAAAGACGUAUUUCCGAAGAAUUCGCCGAAGAAAAUUAAGAAAUUUUUCAGGGGCAUUAUAUCGAAAGAUAGCCUCUUUGCUGGAAUACCAGAGCGAUUUAAAGAACGUUGUGGAAAAUAGAGAUAUAUUUAUGAUUGA